ensembl:lncRNA
AUUUUUGGGCACUAUUGAUAUGCUCAAUUCAUGUAUGAAGCCAAAAACACUAUCUAGUUCCAGGUAGGUCUUUUGCAGAAACAGAGCAAAUGAAGGUUUUGAAAACGCUGUCCGAAGACCUUCAGGCUUUUCAGUCCAAGACAAAUGACAGUACUCGACAAAUUACAGGUUCUAGUGCAUUCCAGUGGAAGAGCUACUGUAAAGAAUCUGAGCUGUCAAGAAGCAAUCAAAGCUCAAUUCAAACUCAGCACUCGAACCAAUCAACACAAGGUGACUUUCUGCUAAUCCAUACGAGUAUCGGGCAAGAAGCUGCGCUCUGUACUUUGAUCAGGUUUCCGAUACAGUGCGGACUUGGGCCAGGAUUGGCGUUGGUGGUACUGUCUUGAGGAGAUGCCUGUUGUGUAAAUGACAGCAGACAGAUACUAUGACAAGCGUCUGAGACUCACUGUCCCUUUAACAGCUCCGACAGAACAUCUGUCAAUUCCCCCUCGCGGCGACUCUCUUUGAGCGGGAUGUUUCCAUCAAAGCUGGGAGGGAGCUCACGAACAGUGUAUUGACCUUGAGUGGCUCGCAUUGAUUUCCGGUUCUGACACACAGAUGAGGGGAGGACGGCGUACGAUGGAUGUGGAGGUGUCUUACAUUCUUACAUGGCCGCCAGCCUGUAGGUGUGAUUGGGAACAGAUUUCCCGAAUUCCGAUACGGCGCCACCUGCCUGAGAUGAUGGAUCGCUCUCUGGUAUCCCAUCAAUCCUCACCUGCAGGAGAGAGGGUGACACCUGUGAGAAAUUUAUCAUCAUAUACGACACAGCGAAAACAGGCCAAUCACAGCAAAGCUCUGCAUGCUAAGCCCCGCCCAAUCUGAAGGCCAAGAGGAUUCUUUUAAAACCAGAUUUAUAAGUAAAACCUUCUCGUGUAUAUGGAAGGCCAAGAAGAAGUGGCUACCAUAUUUCUUCAUGAGAGCAAACACUUCCAGCUGAAUCCAGUUCUGGAAUGAGCUGUCAAGGGAAAUGAGGAUGAAUAGUUUGAGCUCAGUGUGGGACACAAAUCCUUCAACCCUCAACCUGCUUGCUAACUCUAAAGCUAGCAGUAACACAGAGCCGUCACGUUGCACUUGUGAAAUGGGGAACUGUUUCUACCUGUUUUUACCUUUCUGCAGCUACAACCUUCGGUGAAGACUGUUGAUAUUCCUGAAUGUCUCAAUGACGAAACACUGUUGUAGCC